rnacentral:rRNA from 1 species
UACAGAGGGGGGCAAGCGUUAUUCGGAAUUAUUGGGCGUAAAGGGCGCGUAGGCGGCCCUUUCAAGUGACGGGUGAAAGCCCUCGGCUUAACCGAGGAACUGCCUGUCAGACUGGAAGGCUUGAGACCGGGAGAGGUGAGUGGAAUUCCCAGUGUAGCGGUGAAAUGCGUAGAUAUUGGGAGGAACACCAGUGGCGAAGGCGGCCUCACGUGCCGGUACUGACGCUGAGGCGCGAAAGCGUGGGGAGCAAACAGG